rnacentral:lncRNA from 1 species
AUGGAAUACGCUAACAAAGAAGAUGGAACAGCCUAUCCACAUAGGAGAGCUGAUAUAUGGCUUACCUCCAACAAUCAGUAUUACUGUGGUGUAUUGUGUUUCACUGGCAGCAAUAUAUUCAAGAAGAACAUGAGAACUCCUGCACUCCUGGAGACCACAGGAUCCAUGCUCUGGGCUGGUCAUUUUAGGCCUGGUCAUUUAGGUGCAGAGUAUUCUUUCUAGUCACAUGCCCUGCGUGAGCCUCUCCUUCAACUGUUUUCCCAAGGUAUUGGAARUGCUUCUGGUAAAUACUGCAGUUUCCAAAACUUUUCACUGUGUCCUUGCUGGUAUGGGAUACCAUUAUAGCAGGGAGAGGCAGCCUACG